rnacentral:rRNA from 1 species
GACGAACGCUGGCGGCGUGCUUAACACAUGCAAGUCGAACGGAAAGACCCUGCUUUUGUGGGGUGCUCGAGUGGCGAACGGGUGAGUAACACGUGAGUAACCUGCCCUUGACUUUGGGAUAACUUCAGGAAACUGGGGCUAAUACCGGCUAGGAGCUCCUGCUGCAUGGUGGGGGUUGGACAGUUUCGGCGGUUGGGGAUGGACUCGCGGCUUAUCAGCUUGUUGGUUGGGUAGCGGCUUACCCAGGCUUUGACGGGUAGCCGGCCUGAGAGGGUGAACGGCCACCUGGGGACUGAGAGACGGCCCAGACUCCUAUGGGAGGCAGCAGUGGGGAAUAUUGCACAAUGGGCGGAAGCCUGAUGCAGCAACGCCGCGUGCGGGAUGACGGCCUUCGGGUUGUAAACCGCUUUCGCCUGUGACGAAGCGUGAGUGACGGUAAUGGGUAAAGAAGCACCGGCUAACUACGUG